rnacentral:rRNA from 1 species
UACGGGGGGGGCAAGCGUUGUUCGGAAUUACUGGGCGUAAAGGGCUCGUAGGCGGCCAACUAAGUCGGACGUGAAAUCCCUCGGCUUAACCGGGGAACUGCGUCCGAUACUGGAUGGCUGGAGGUUGGGAGAGGGAUGCGGAAUUCCAGGUGUAGCGGUGAAAUGCGUAGAUAUUGGGAGGAACACCAGUGGCGAAGGCGGCUCACUGGACCGGAACUGACGCUGAGGCGCGAAAGCGUGGGGAGCAAACAGG